AGAGUAAGCAUAGGUAGUUGCAAAUUUUUAUAACAAAUUUGAGGAAAGUCCGGUCUCUUUUUAGAAAAAUAUAGCUAUAUAGAAAAUAGUGUAGGUAACUAUGAGGAUAGUGCCACAGAAAUAAACCGCCUAAAUAUAGGUAAGGGUGCAAAGGUGCAGUAAAAGUGCACCAGUAAUAUGUUAAUAAUAUUAGCUAGGUAAACCCCAUAUUAGGAGUAAAGUAGUCUUUUGGUUUGUAUAAUCUAUAGUUAUUAAUUAUCGUAAAUGAUAUUUUGUAUCUGCAAGAAGUAAGGUAAAAGGAUUAUUUUACUCUAGAUGAAUAACUACCCUUUAUAUCACUUUUAGUAUUUAUGUAAAGAACAAAACCCGGCUUAUGGCUUACUUUUUA
rnacentral:RNase_P_RNA from 1 species